rnacentral:rRNA from 1 species
UACGGGGGGGGCAAGCGUUGUUCGGAAUUACUGGGCGUAAAGGGCUCGUAGGCGGUCAACUAAGUCAUACGUGAAAUCCCUCGGCUUAACCGGGGAACUGCGUCUGAUACUGGAUGGCUUGAGAUUGGGAGAGGGAUGCGGAAUUCCAGGUGUAGCGGUGAAAUGCGUAGAUAUCUGGAGGAACACCGGUGGCGAAGGCGGCAUCCUGGACCAACACUGACGCUGAGGAGCGAAAGCCAGGGGAGCAAACGGG